CAGCUGCUCCAGGAGGCAAUCAGGAAACAGAAAGGAAUCAUCAGGGCAAUGUUUCCUUCCCCUGAAAUCCCUCCCCAAAGAAAAUCAUUAAUCAGAAGAAUCCAGGUUUCUUCAUUGCCAUGGCCACGUCAAAAAACCAAGUCUGGAGAGUCUGCCACAUCCAGAAAAAUCUGUAGCUUAUUCUGCUUAAUAGAAGACAUCCUGCUGGCUUGGAUGAAAGACUUCUACAGUCCAGCAUACUCUUCACUGAUUGGCCAGAUGGAGCAGUGGGAGAGAAAAUCAUGAUCUUUACUUACACAUCAUCAUUCCCACAGCCUUGCCUGAGGACCAUGCCAUGUACUACACAAAGUCCAUGUGGGAGUAAGAACUGUUUCCUGAGAAGCUCAAGCUUUUUGAAUGCACUUUUUUCUAGAGAUGUGUGACUACAGAAAAUCUGGCAAGAGGGACUUGCACGCAAGUUAUUGUAUUUCACAUCACACCCUUCUCUCAAGGCAAGAACUUAAGGUGGCUUAAAAAUGGAUCAAUAAAAAAAUCCCAAGUUAUAAUACUGUGUCAGCUGUACUUUCUCUUCCAUAAUUUACCUUAGGCUGACA